AUUAUUUUAGUUUAAAAAAAACUUUACAUUUUCAGUGUAAAAAUAAGUAACUUUAUAUAAUU
rnacentral:tRNA from 1 species